UACGUAGGGUGCAAGCGUUGUCCGGAAUUAUUGGGCGUAAAGAGCUCGUAGGCGGUUUGUCGCGUCUGCUGUGAAAUCUGGGGGCUCAACCCCCAGCCUGCAGUGGGUACGGGCAGACUAGAGUGCGGUAGGGGAGACUGGAAUUCCUGGUGUAGCGGUGGAAUGCGCAGAUAUCAGGAGGAACACCGGUGGCGAAGGCGGUUCUCUGGGCAUGACCUGACGCUGAGGAGCGAAAGCAUGGGGAGCGAACAGG
rnacentral:rRNA from 1 species